CAAGGAAUUAUAUUAGUCUUCUAAACUAAUUUUGAGGUUUCUCACUUGUUUU
rnacentral:tRNA from 1 species